rnacentral:rRNA from 1 species
GACGAACGCUGGCGGCGUGCUUAACACAUGCAAGUCGAACGGAAAGGCCUGCUUUCCCUUGUGGAUUGCGGGUACUCGAGUGGCGAACGGGUGAGUAACACGUGAGUGAUCUGCCCCCAACUUGGGUAUAAGCCUGGGAAACUGGGUCUAAUUCCCGAUAGGACUGCAGGGUGGUGCCUGUGGUGGAAAACGAUUUUCUAGUGGUUGGGGAUGAGCUCGCGGCCUAUCAGCUUGUUGGUGGGGUAAUGGCCUACCAAGGCGGCGACGGGUAGCCGGCCUGGGAGGGUGGACGGCCACAUUGGGACUGAGAUACGGCGCAGACGCCUACGGGAGGCAGCAGUGGGGAAUAUUGCACAAUGGGCGGAAGCCUGAUGCAGCGACGCCGCGUGGGGGAUGACGGCCUUCGGGUUGUAAACUCCUUUCGACCGCGAGGAAGCCACCUGGUUGGAAGGGUGGUGACGGUAGUGGUAGAAGAAGCACCGGCUAACUACGUG